rnacentral:rRNA from 1 species
UACGUAGGGUGCAAGCGUUGUCCGGAAUUAUUGGGCGUAAAGAGCUCGUAGGCGGUCUGUCGCGUCUGCUGUGAAAACUCAGGGCUUAACCCUGAGCUUGCAGUGGGUACGGGCAGACUAGAGUGCGGGUAGGGGGAGACUGGAAUUCCUGGUGUAGCGGUGAAAUGCGCAGAUAUCAGGAGGGAACACCGGGUGGCGAAGGCGGGGUCUCUGGGCCGUAACUGACGCUGGAGGAGCGAAAGCAUGGGGAGCGAACAGGAUUAGACUAC